CAAUGCUCAUUUUUAAAAGUUUCACUAUUCGCGGCAAACCCGAAAAUUUUCCUGCUAUAUUUGCAGUUCCUAUAUGCAUGUUAUUCUCUCAAACCCUCAUCCCCAAGUCACAUCCUAACAUUUUCACUAUUCGCGGCAAACUCCAAAAGUUUUUUGAGAUUUUUGAUGCUCAUCCCCAAAUUUGGCACCAUUCAUCGUUCUCCGCCUCCGACAGCUCUGGACAGCUCCGAUGAGUUCUUUCAAGUUAUCUCCAUUUAUAAUUGAUCUUGUUUCUUCCUCCCUUUGAUCAUUUUAAGUUAUUGGCAUCCCAAAAGCGGUUGGAUAAUAGGUACUGCAAGGCACAAUUUAUCUUCGAGAAAGGAGAUGAGGAUCUUGCACGUGAAGCUGUAACGAGGAGAACAACUUUGCAGUUGGAUUUCUAAAGAUAAAGACCUCAACUCGAUUAUUACUUCAUCAGUCAACUUCCAUCCAAGUGCACCAGCAAAUUCAGCAACCUGUUCUGCAUACUUGGCUUCUGGGAUUGGCACUACACUGUCUCGGUUAGGAGCAAGCUAAGGACCAUGUAGAUAGGAGUAACAUGUUCUCUUUAGAUCCCAGCAAAACCAGUUGUGUAUGUGAUUUAUAAAUCUUAACAUAAGAAGCUUUUUGCAGGACAUAUUUUGACCCUUAAUGAUAAAGGAAAAAAAAACAUUGAUUGGUUAAUUGUGUACUCUCUCUCUCUCUCUCUCUCUCUCUCUCUCUCUCUCUCUCUCUCUCUCUCUCUCUCUCUCUCUCUCUCUCUCUCUCUCUCUCUCUCUCUCUCUCUCUCUCUCUCUCUCUCUCUCUCUCUCUCUCUCUCUCUCUCUCUCUCUCUCUCUCUCUCUCUCUCUCUCUCUCUCAUGGGUAAGCUUAAUUGCUUCAAAUGCAUGUUACUAACUUUUGCAAUUAGAAAUUAAUAUACAUCUUUUUAGUCUUCUUUUUAUUGCUCUGUUUCAAAGCUAUGUUUUUCCAUGACAUUUUGCAUUUUUUUUGACAGACUGGGAAGGAUUUUAUGCGAAGAUUGUAAGGGACAAAAGUUAUCUUUCCAGCAUUAGAUUGAAGUUGUAAGAUUAUAAUUGAAAUUUCAAUUAUUUAAGUAGUAGAUAGAUAUUUUACAGUUAUAUCUGGAAAACGUUGGAAAAGUUAUUUUUAAUACUAAUGGCCUUGUCUACUUUGGUACUGUAGAUAGCACUUAUCCCUUUGGAUAUUUUUGUUCUAUGUUAUGUACCAAAUCAAUAUAAGUUACAAGCUGUAGGGUCAUGGUGUUAAUGAAAAUAAGGAUAGUUCAUGUUCAUCCUUACUUUGUACUCAGGUGGGCCCUAAGGUAAAGAGCAGCUUGAGAUUAAACAUUCAUACUAAGAGACUACAAUUGAACAUUUGAAAUGUGUUUUGGUGUGAUAUUGAGACAUUUGUCUGAUGUGUGUGCUUGGCCUCUCUAUUUGAUGCAUCUAUGUACAUGUGUAUGUGUUUUUUUUUUAAUUUGUGGUGCAUAGUCGUGUGAAAAAAAACACUGAAGAGUAAUAAACUGUAGGAGCAAAUAUGAGGGACAAUUUCAAGGUGAUUAUGCAUACACCAUGGAUAAUCUACAAUAAAUGCACACAAGUAUUGAAACACUUAACAAUUGUGAAAUAAUAGCACCAUAAUUGUACCAUAGUACUAAUUAAGAUGACAACUCAAGAAUUUUUCAUGACAACUCAUGAAUUCUUGGUGGAAGGACUCUUCAACACCUUCUCUUAAGAUAUUCAAGCUCUUUUAAUCAUUGAUCUUUCUUCCUUAGAGGUGGCUGCUUCAAUGGUUCUCUCAAAACAUUGUAGCUUUUGGUUCGUGAGACUUAGCUUGGGUGCGAAGAGGGGAGCAAUUGGGCAGCUCACGCACUUACUAAAUGGUCAAACUCUACUGGCAUUACAGGUGAGAUCAUGCCUAUCGAUUUUCAGAGAGUGCUCUAAGAGUUGGAGAGGUGUGUGUGUUUAGCUUCUUGGUAGGAGCCAAAUCAGUGGGCUUUUCAUUCUCUCUCUCUCUUAGCUUUUUCUGUGUUCCUUGUUGGCAGCUUUGAUUGGUGGAGU